rnacentral:rRNA from 1 species
GACGAACGCUGGCGGCGUGCUUAACACAUGCAAGUCGAGCGAGAAACUUCGGUUUCUAGCGGCGGACGGGUGAGCAACACGUGGGCAACCUGCCUCACAAUGGGGGAUAGCCUUCCGAAAGGAAGAUUAAUACCGCAUAACACAAAGGAAACGCAUGUUUCUUUUGCCAAAGAAUUUCGUUGUGAGAUGGGCCCGCGGCGCAUUAGCUUGUUGGUGAGGUAACGGCUCACCAAGGCGACGAUGCGUAGCCGACCUGAGAGGGUGAUCGGCCACAUUGGAACUGAGACACGGUCCAGACUCCUACGGGAGGCAACAGCGGGGAAUAUUGCACAAUGGAGGAAACUCUGAUGCAGCAACGCCGCGUGAGUGAUGAAGGUCUUCGGAUUGUAAAGCUCUGUCUUCUGGGACGAUAAUGACGGUACCAGAGGAGGAAGCCACGGCUAACUACGUGCCAGCAGCCGCGGUAA